GAUGAACGCUGGCGGCGUGCCUAAUACAUGCAAGUCGAGCGAACAGAUGAGGAGCUUGCUCCUCUGACGUUAGCGGCGGACGGGUGAGUAACACGUGGAUAACCUACCUAUAAGACUGGGAUAACUUCGGGAAACCGGCGCUAAUACCGGAUAAUCUAUUGAACCGCAUGGUUCAAUAGUGAAAGACGGUUUUGCUGUCACUUAUAGAUGGAUCCGCGCCGCAUUAGCUAGUUGGUAAGGUAACGGCUUACCAAGGCAACGAUGCGUAGCCGACCUGAGAGGGUGAUCGGCCACAUGGGAGCUGAGACACGGUCCAGACUCCUACGGGAGGCAGCAGUAGGGAAUCUGACGCAAUGGGCGAAAGCAUGACGGAGCAACGCCGCGUGAGUGAUGAAGGUCUUCGGAUCGUAAAACUCUGUUAUUAGGGAAGAACAAAUGUGUAAGUAACUAUGCACGUCUUGACGGUACCUAAUCAGAAAGCCACGGCUAACUACGUG
rnacentral:rRNA from 1 species